CAAUAAGCGGAGGAAAAGAAACCAACAGGGAUUGCCCUAGUAACGGCGAGUGAAGCGGCAACAGCUCAAAUUUGAAAUCUGGCGCAAGCCCGAGUUGUAAUUUGUAGAGGAUGCUUCAGGGCAGCGGCCGGUCUAAGUUCCUUGGAACAGGACGUCAUAGAGGGUGAGAAUCCCGUAUGCGACCGGUUGGCACCCGUCACGUAGCUCCUUCGACGAGUCGAGUUGUUUGGGAAUGCAGCUCUAAAUGGGAGGUAAAUUUCUUCUAAAGCUAAAUACCGGCCAGAGACCGAUAGCGCACAAGUAGAGUGAUCGAAAGAUGAAAAGCACUUUGGAAAGAGAGUUAAAAAGCACGUGAAAUUGUUGAAAGGGAAGCGCAUGCAACCAGACUUGUCGGCGGUGUUCCGCCGGUCUUCUGACCGGUCUACUCGCCGCCGGCAGGCCAGCAUCAUCUGGGUGCGCCGGACAAAGGCGCGGGGAAUGUAGCUCCUCGGAGUGUUAUAGCCCCGCGCACAAUACGGCGCCGCCCGGGUGAGGUCCGCGCUUCGGCUAGGAUGCUGGCGUAAUGGUUGUAUGCGGCCCGUCUUGAAACACGGACCAAGGAGUCUAACAUCUAUGCGAGUGUUCGGGUGUCAAACCCCUACGCGGAAUGAAAGUGAACGGAGGUGGGAAGCGCAAGCUGCACCAUCGACCGAUCCUGAUGUCUUCGGAUGGAUUUGAGUAAGAGCAUAGCUGUUGGGACCCGAAAGAUGGUGAACUAUGCCUGAAUAGGGUGAAGCCAGAGGAAACUCUGGUGGAGGCUCGCAGCGGUUCUGACGUGCAAAUCGAUCGUCAAAUUUGGGUAUAGGGGCGAAAGACUAAUCGAACCAU
rnacentral:rRNA from 1 species